rnacentral:rRNA from 1 species
AGGCUGUCGCUGGCUAGGUCAUUCUAGCAUGUGCA